rnacentral:rRNA from 1 species
AUUGAACGCUGGCGGCAUGCUUUACACAUGCAAGUCGAACGGUAACAGGCCGCAAGGUGCUGACGAGUGGCGAACGGGUGAGUAAUGCAUCGGAACGUGCCCAGUCGUGGGGGAUAACUACUCGAAAGAGUAGCUAAUACCGCAUACGAUCUAUGGAUGAAAGCGGGGGACCGUAAGGCCUCGCGCGAUUGGAGCGGCCGAUGUCGGAUUAGGUAGUUGGUGGGGUAAAGGCUCACCAAGCCAACGAUCUGUAGCUGGUCUGAGAGGACAACCAGCCACACUGGGACUGAGACACGGCCCAGACUCCUACGGGAGGCAGCAGUGGGGAAUUUUGGACAAUGGGCGCAAGCCUGAUCCAGCAAUGCCGCGUGCAGGAAGAAGGCCUUCGGGUUGUAAACUGCUUUUGUACGGAACGAAACGGCUCUGGUUAAUACCCGGGGCUAAUGACGGUACCGUAAGAAUAAGCACCGGCUAACUGCGUG